CCGGGUGCUCUCAGGUGCUCGCGCUGCUUCGUCAGAGUGUCGCUUUCCUCCUCGAAGGUAAGUGGACGUAAUCGCCCUGGCUCCAUCCUAAUAAAGCUCCGUGUUAUUUAUAGUGCUUUUGUUGAUAGUAAAUGGUCAAGUCUGUGUCGGUCGGCUAAGCGUCUAGCUAUGAGCAGUAGCAAUUUAAAGGGUUUUAUAUGUGUAUUUGUCAUGCUAAUGGUACGAGUCUUCCGGAGAACUCUUAGGACGCUUUCGACUUUGAAGUUCAUACUGCACUGUUUGUUAACGUGGCCGCUGGAAAGCCGUCUGUCUAAAACAGUGGCAUGUCCACAGUAUGUCUGUGUCCUAACUUGCUGUGGGGCUCCCAACACGAGCACAAACCAUCGCCCAGGUGUGAGAAGACGACCUCUUGCUGACCCCUCAAUCCAACUCUUGUCGCUGCUCUAUCUUUUGUCUCUGCCUUCCUUCUAUCUUUCACCUCUCAAGAUGUAUAUAAAAAAAAAAAAAAAAAAAAAAAAAGGGGGGGGGGGGGGGGCAAGAGAUGUCAGGCUCGCAAAGUUGAACUGGGAGAAGCGUGCUCAAAACCACUCCCGGGCACCUGUUGCAUCCUCUGGUGAUUUCUAUGCCACUGCCGCGCACUUCGGUGCGCGCAAUUUGCCCGCCGCAGUUGCAAGCAACGAUUUCCGUGCCUUUGCGCCAUUUGAAAGCAAGGAUUUCCGUGGCGCGGCUGCCGCACGCCUCGAGAACUGCGCCAGUGUCGGGGUCCCGAUUUCCUCGCCCCGUCUUCGGAGAGCCGCACCUGUCGGAGACCCGAUGACUGACGAGCCUGUCGAGGGAAAAGCUCUGCUGCGACACGAUCGGGUGACGAAGUUGCAUCACUCGACCGGCGCUGAUCGAGAUCUCGUUCGUGUACUUUGGCUGUUUUGAAGGCCCGAGGACGAUGCACGGACAGUCGUUUGGCAACGGAUGAAAUUCCGGCGAUUGUUCGUGGUUUGGGAAAAAAAAAAAAACAGACGUGUAAAUAAACGUGUCAAUCGACGUAUGCUUGUUGUACUGCUUCAUUUGAGUCCCAGAACCUCCGCAACAGACUCGAGUGCUUGAUUUCAGAGGGAAAUUUUGCAAGUUCUUGUCACCGGUCCAAUUGUACAUCGCUGUUUUCCGAGACCACCGAGGAAGGUACGGCUUUUCGGAUCCCCGCUGCGGAGGACGCGACGGGCUUCCUGUUCCCCGUGGUGCGGCUGUCCUGUUUCUUUUCACAGCUUUAAAUGAUCUGAUUGAUAAGGUGAUAGAGCUUCUCACAAGUUUGGGUACAAGUCCCUCUGCCCGGUGUGAGCUGCUGCUGCCGCCGCCGCCGCCGCCGCUUUGUUUUGGACCCGUUGCUGUCCCUGCCCAUGACCACGAGAUGGCGCCACGUGCACCGCUUGCUCCGGGAGCGGCGGACGACGAUCACGCCGAGAUGACGAGGGCGUCCGUAUCCGCGUCGCCGAGGAAACGAGGGCUUGCCGACGGCAUAUGAAGCAGUGCUCUCGCAGCGUGCUAUUUGUAUAAACGAGUGACAACGCUUUGAAAACGAGUUCCCCUCUCUCACUCCUUUGAGGGCGAAACGCAGGAGUCCGUUGAAGUGCGGACCCGAAGCGCGUGAAUCGGAAGCGAUGCGCUGAGCCGAUGUCGCGUCGACGUGCGGAAUUGUGCACGUCGAGCGAAAGGCAAACGUGUUUUGGCGCCGCUGAUUGACACGGGCUUUUGUCCUAAGAAGAACGGGGAAACAGGCAGUCGUCAAAGACCGCAAAUUCUCACAGCACAAAAACCCAGAGGAAUUUUUACGGGGCAUCGCUCGAGCUGCGCCUGCCUCAUCGCGCUGGCUGUCAGCCGAAAUCCCGACGCUUUCCAACGUACCGGAGGCUCCGCGAUCACGCUCGUUUACGGUUAGCGGACGCUGAAUACCUCGAGGCCGGGGCCGACGUUGUCGACGGGAACGAAGAGAAGUACGAGAGGCGCAGAAAAGACCUUGGCAGUGCCGUGCGAGAGGUGGAGGAAGGUGGAAUAAUCCUAAAACGAACGGUGCCGCCCGGCUCCUGAGAGGGAAUUUACAAAGACUGGAAAGCAUGGAGGAAAUCGACGGGAGAGAUGAAGCCGACGACAACGGGCAGGAAAAGGGACCGGACCGGACGACGACGACGACUGGUCCGAAGCCACGGAAACGUCAACCGUGAGAGAAGCCGCCGGCGUCGGUGUUCCGCCGCGUGUAUCGGAACCUCGAGCGAAAGCAAAGCGUGCGUCUUUCGCGAGGUCGGAGGUCGGAGGUCGGUGCGCACGACGCGCGUGUAACUUAACGCCACGGCCUUUCUUCUGUGACGCCGACGGUGGCGCUGGGACCGGAAGGUCUCGUCCGGUCGAAUGAACCCACGCAGGGGCUACUAAAAUCCUCCGCAGAGCGCCGCGACCGGCUGAGGGAGCAGACGUUUCCAAAGAGACGGACGGUUCUUCCCGCAGCCUUCGCCGGCACGGGAGCCUUCGACAUUUUCCGGAUCGACCGCGCAUCGGCGACUCGAGCUGCCGAGAAGCCUCGAACCGCCGUACCUCGGCCCGGGCGAUGAACUGGACGGAGUCGGAGCAGAGCUGUCAAUUGCUGAAAUGCUCAUUAUUGAGGAGAUUUCCGUGGCGCCCAAAGAUCUCUUUGCAUAUGUGGGCGCAAGAUUGAAGCAAAUCCAAGGAACGAAUUCACCUUUUGGUGGAACGUCUGUUCUCGCUGUCGGAGAGGUCUAUCAGCUGGCGCCUGUGAGACGGCGCCAACCUUGGUGUGCGUACGACCCGACCCGACCCGACAACUUUGAAAUGAUCACAUGGACUGAAAUCACGAGGCAGAAAGAUGGCGUCCCUUUUGCUGAACUGCCGAACCGACUCCGCGUCAAAGGAACGUCCGAUGAGCUGCCAGAACGAGACGGAGCUCGGCUUGCCGCAGCUUUCGCCCUCCCGGGACCGUGCCCGAAGGACACGCCGCACAUCUAUGCCACAAAUAAACCAGCGGAUAGCCAUAACUCUGAAAUGUUGAACCUGCUUCACCAGGGCAUUGUGACAAUGAAAGAAAAAGAAAGCUUCCGUUUCCCAGGAUCCCCUGAACGCACCGCCGGGUGCUCUCAGGUGCUCGCGCUGCUUCGUCAGAGUGUCGCUUUCCUCCUCGAAGGUAAGUGGACGUAAUCGCCCUGGCUCCAUCCUAAUAAAGCUCCGUGUUAUUUAUAGUGCUUUUGUUGAUAGUAAAUGGUCAAGUCUGUGUCGGUCGGCUAAGCGUCUAGCUAUGAGCAGUAGCAAUUUAAAGGGUUUUAUAUGUGUAUUUGUCAUGCUAAUGGUACGAGUCUUCCGGAGAACUCUUAGGACGCUUUCGACUUUGAAGUUCAUACUGCACUGUUUGUUAACGUGGCCGCUGGAAAGCCGUCUGUCUAAAACAGUGGCAUGUCCACAGUAUGUCUGUGUCCUAACUUGCUGUGGGGCUCCCAACACGAGCACAAACCAUCGCCCAGGUGUGAGGCCCGGGGGCCAGAUCUGGCCUGCCACGUCACUUUCUGUCGGCCAUAAGAGCACUCGUAUCAUACCAGCCAUGCAGCGUGUUCAACCAGCUCACACUCCGGACUACAACAAAGUCGUCACGUUCUCACUUUUCAUUGUCAUGAUUAUUUAAG